rnacentral:rRNA from 1 species
AGGCAAUAGAUACCCCGGUAGUCCACGCCGUAAACGAUGGGUACUAGGUGCCUGGGGGAGCGACCCCUUGGGUGCCGGCGCUAAACGCAGGAAAGUACCCCGCCUGGGGAGUACGACCGCAAGGUUGAAACUCAAAGGAAUUGACGGGGGUCCCGCACAAGCGGUGGAGCAUGUGGUUUAAUUCGACGCAAACGCGAAGAACCUUACCUAGGCUUGACAUGCAUGGGAAACCUCCUCAGAAACGAGGAGCCUCCUUCGGGAUCCAUGCACAGGUGCUGCAUGGCUGUCGUCAGCUCGUGUCGUGAGAUGUUGGGUUAAGUCCCGCAACGAGCGCAACCCCGUGUUCUUAGUUACCAGCGCGUAAUGGCGGGGACUCUAGGAAGACUGCCGGUGCC